GACGAACGCUGGCGGCGUGCUUAACACAUGCAAGUCGAACGGAAAGGCCCUGCUUUUGUGGGGUGCUCGAGUGGCGAACGGGUGAGUAACACGUGAGUAGCCUGCCCUUGACUUUGGGAUAACUUCAGGAAACUGGGGCUAAUACCGGAUAGGAGCUCCUGCUGCAUGGUGGGGGUUGGAAAGUUUCGGCGGUUGGGGAUGGACUCGCGGCUUAUCAGCUUGUUGGUGGGGUAGUGGCUUACCAAGGCUUUGACGGGUAGCCGGCCUGAGAGGGUGACCGGCCACAUUGGGACUGAGAUACGGCCCAGACUCCUACGGGAGGCAGCAGUGGGGAAUAUUGCACAAUGGGCGGAAGCCUGAUGCAGCAACGCCGCGUGCGGGAUGACGGCCUUCGGGUUGUAAACCGCUUUCGCCUGUGACGAAGCGUGAGUGACGGUAAUGGGUAAAGAAGCACCGGCUAACUACGUGCCAGCAGCCGCGGUGAUACGUAGGGUGCGAGCGUUGUCCGGAUUUAUUGGGCGUAAAGGGCUCGUAGGUGGUUGAUCGCGUCGGAAGUGUAAUCUUGGGGCUUAACCCUGAGCGUGCUUUCGAUACGGGUUGACUUGAGGAAGGUAGGGGAGAAUGGAAUUCCUGGUGGAGCGGUGGAAUGCGCAGAUAUCAGGAGGAACACCAGUGGCGAAGGCGGUUCUCUGGGCCUUUCCUGACGCUGAGGAGCGAAAGCGUGGGGAGCGAACAGGCUUAGAUACCCUGGUAGUCCACGCUGUAAACGGUGGGUACUAGGUGUGAGGUCCAUUCCACGGGUUCCGUGCCGUAGCUAACGCUUUAAGUACCCCGCCUGGGGAGUACGGCCGCAAGGCUAAAACUCAAAGGAAUUGACGGGGCCCCGCACAAGCGGCGGAGCAUGCGGAUUAAUUCGAUGCAACGCGUAGAACCUUACCUGGGUUUGACUUGGAUCGGGAGUGCUCAGAGAUGGGUGUGCCUCUUUUGGGGUCGGUUCACAGGUGGUGCAUGGCUGUCGUCAGCUCGUGUCGUGAGAUGUUGGGUUAAGUCCCGCAACGAGCGCAACCCUUGUUCACUGUUGCCAGCACGUUAUGGUGGGGACUCAGUGGAGACCGCCGGGGUCAACUCGGAGGAAGGUGGGGAUGACGUCAAGUCAUCAUGCCCCUUAUGUCCAGGGCUUCACGCAUGCUACAAUGGCUGGUACAGAGAGUGGCGAGCCUGUGAGGGUGAGCGAAUCUCGGAAAGCCGGUCUCAGUUCGGAUUGGGGUCUGCAACUCGACCUCAUGAAGUCGGAGUCGCUAGUAAUCGCAGAUCAGCAACGCUGCGGUGAAUACGUUCCCGGG
rnacentral:rRNA from 1 species